GCCCGAGGCUAUCUGGCCAAGGGCACGCCUGCCUGGGCGUCACG
rnacentral:rRNA from 1 species